UCUGCACCGUGCAUGCAGGUGGGGCGGCGCGGAUCUGCACGGUGCAUGCAGGCGGUGCUGCGGGGCUGCAGGGUGCAUGCAUCGGGGCUGCAGGGCUGCAAGGUGCAUGCAGCGGUGCUGCGGGGCUGCAGGGUGCAUGCAUCGGGGCUGCAAGGUGCAUGCAUUGGUGCUGUGCACGUCUGCAUCGUGCGUGCAUCGGGGCUGCAAGGUGCAUGCACUUGCAUCAGGGCUGCAGAGCUGCAAGGUGCGUGCAUUGGUGCCGUGCACGUCUGCAUCGUGCACGCAUCAGGGCUGCAGAGCUGCAAGGUGCGUGCACUGGUGCCGUGCACGUCUGCAUCGUGCACGCAUCAGGGCUGCAGAUCUGCACUGUGCAUGCUCUGGUGCUGCAAAUACGCAGGGUGCGUGCACUGGUGCCGUGCACGUCUGCAUCGUGUGUGCAUCGCGGCUGCACGGUGUGUGCACUGGUGCUGUGCACGUCUGCAUCGUGUGCAUUGGUGCUGUGCAGACCUGCACUGUGUGUGCUCUGGUGCUGCAAAUACGCAAGGUGUGUUCGCUGGUGCUGUGCAGACCUGCGCUGUGCGUGCAUCAGGGCUGCAAGGUGCAUGCUUUGGUGCCGUGCACGUGUGCAUCGUGUGUGCAUCGGGGCUGCAAGGUGCGUGCAGUGGUGCCGUGCACGUCUGCACUGUGCGUGCAUCAGGGCUGCAGAGCUGCAAAGGUGCAUGCUUUGGUGCCGUGCACACCUGCACUGUGCGUGCUUUGGUGCUGCAAACAUGCAACGUGUGUGCACUGGUGCUGUGCAGACCUGCGCUGUGCGUGCAUCGGGGCUGCAAGAGCUGCAAAGGCGCGUGCACGCACCGGCGCCGUGCAAAUCGGCCUCUUGCGUGCGUGUGUGGUGCUGUGCAACUCUGCAAGGUGCGUGCACGCAUCGGUGCGGUGCAAAUCUGCGCCGUGCAUGCACACACGUGGUCCUGUGCAAGGCUGCACCGUGCACGCAGAUCUGCAUCGGGCACGCGCGCAUUGGUGCUGUGCAAAAUCUGCACUGUGCAUGCAUGCACGUGGUGCUGAGCACAUCCGCUGCUUGCACACACGUGGUGCUGUGCACAACUGCGCUGUGCAGGGGGUGCUGAGCACAUCCGCUCCUUGCACACACGUGGUGCUGUGCAUGUCCCUGUGGUGCUUGCAUGUGUGGUGCUGUGCACACCUGCACCGUGCACACACCUGGUGCUGUGCACACCCCCGUGGUGCUUGCACGCGCGGUCCCGUGCACACCCACCCCGUGCACGCCCGUGUGCCCCCCCGGUGUUUGCACACACGCGCUCCCCCGCUUGCUUGCGCCACGUGUGCGCAUGCACGGCCCCAUGCACACCCCCCCCGCUGCACACACGCCCCCCCGCCUGCAUGCUCCCUGCACGCCCCUUGCACACCCAUUGCACGCUCAUUGCACACCCGUUGCACGCUCAUUGCGCGCCCGUUGCACACCCAUUGCAUGCCUGUUGCAUGCCCGUUGCAUGCCCAAUGCACGCCCAAUGCAUGCCCCCUGCACGCCCGUUGCACGCCCGUUUGCACACCCAUUUGCACGCCCCUUGCACGCCCGCCUACCCUGGCAGUGGCUGCUGUUGAGGCGCUUGUAGCCCUGGGGGCAGUCCCCCCCGUGCUCCCCCCGCACGGCGCCCGUCUUCUGCACCC
rnacentral:lncRNA from 1 species